rnacentral:tRNA from 1 species
UCUCUGGCGGUCCCGUGGUUAGGGCUCUGCAUUUCCACUGCGGAGGGCUCAGGUUCGACCCCUGGUUGGAGAG